CAAGGGGUAGUUUAUUUUAAAAUGUUAGCUUUGGAGGCUGUUGAUAAGUGUUUUCUUUUCCUUGA
rnacentral:tRNA from 1 species